UGUAUUACUUAAACUGCAAUGCAAUGGUGGCAAUAUGUAUAGGUUAAAUAAUGACGCAUGUUCCUCCUUCGCGAACAUAUUCCUUCUCAUUUACUAAGCGGCCGUUAACAACAAGCAGACCGAACUGAAAAUUUACACCAUAUCAAAAUUUAACACAUGCCUUUGUCAAGCAUUUGCACCACUUUUAUAAAACUAUUCCAGACGCCAAGACCACACAAGUGAUUACUUCAUCAACACAUCAUGUACUUUGUAUUGCAUAUACACAUAGU
rnacentral:lncRNA from 1 species